AAUAGAUACCCAGGUAGUCCACGCCGUAAACGAUGAGUGCUAAGUGUUAGGGGGUUUCCGCCCCUUAGUGCUGCAGCUAACGCAUUAAGCACUCCGCCUGGGGAGUACGGUCGCAAGACUGAAACUCAAAGGAAUUGACGGGGGCCCGCACAAGCGGUGGAGCAUGUGGUUUAAUUCGAAGCAACGCGAAGAACCUUACCAGGUCUUGACAUCCCGCUGACCGCUAUGGAGACAUAGUUUUCCCUUCGGGGACAGCGGUGACAGGUGGUGCAUGGUUGUCGUCAGCUCGUGUCGUGAGAUGUUGGGUUAAGUCCCGCAACGAGCGCAACCCUUGUCCUUAGUUGCCAUCAUUCAGUUGGGCACUCUAAGGAGACUGCCGUACAAAUACGGAGAAAGGUGGGGAUGACGUCAAAUCAUCAUGCCCCUUAUGACCUGGGCUACACACGUGCUACAAUGGACGGUACAAACGGUUGCGAAGUCGCGAGACGGAGCCAAUCCGAGAAAGCCGUUCUCAGUUCGGAUUGCAGG
rnacentral:rRNA from 1 species